rnacentral:sRNA from 1 species
AAGACUGCCUUUGGAAAAAGAAUUCAUGAUUUAGCUAGCAAGCAGUACGUCCUGAGUAGGGGCAUUGCAAUUUUCUCACACCCCUGCCACCAUAGUGCUUCAAAUUUGUCCUGGAGAGAGCACAUCUUGGGUUGAGAAAGUAGCUCUGUCUCCAUGCUUGUUCAGUCCUUGGCCUCU